CUCCGAAUGCCAAUUAAUUUAACUUGGGAGUCAGAACAUGGGUGAUAAGGUCCGUGUUCGAAAGGGAAACAGCCCAGACCACCAGCUAAGGUCCCAAAAUAUAUGUUAAGUGGAAAAGGAUGUGGCGUUGCCCAGACAACUAGGAUGUUGGCUUAGAAGCAGCCAUCAUUUAAAGAGUGCGUAAUAGCUCACUAGUCGAGUGACACUGCGCCGAAAAUGUACCGGGGCUAAACAUAUUACCGAAGCUGUGGAUUGUCCUUUGGACAAUGGUAGGAGAGCGUUCUAAGGGCGUUGAAGCAUGAUCGUAAGGACAUGUGGAGCGCUUAGAAGUGAGAAUGCCGGUGUGAGUAGCGAAAGACGGGUGAGAAUCCCGUCCACCGAUUGACUAAGGUUUCCAGAGGAAGGCUCGUCCGCUCUGGGUUAGUCGGGUCCUAAGCUGAGGCCGACAGGCGUAGGCGAUGGAUAACAGGUUGAUAUUCCUGUACCACCUAUAAUCGUUUUAAUCGAUGGGGGGACGCAGUAGGAUAGGCGA
rnacentral:rRNA from 1 species